GACGAACGCUGGCGGCGUGCUUAACACAUGCAAGUCGAACGGUAAGGCCCUUCGGGGUACACGAGUGGCGAACGGGUGAGUAACACGUGGGUGAUCUGCCCUGCACUUCGGGAUAAGCCUGGGAAACUGGGUCUAAUACCGGAUAGGACCACUGCCUGCAUGGGUGGUGGUGGAAAGCUUUUGCGGUGUGGGAUGGGCCCGCGGCCUAUCAGCUUGUUGGUGGGGUGAUGGCCUACCAAGGGGACGACGGGUAGCCGGCCUGAGAGGGUGACCGGCAACACUGGGACGAGGAUACGGCCCAGCCUCCUACGGGAGGCAGCAGUGGGGAAUAUUGCACAAUGGGCGCAAGCCUGAUGCAGCGACGCCGCGUGAGGGAUGACGGCCUUCGGGUUGUAAACCUCUUUCAGCACCGACGAAGCGCAAGUGACGGUAGGUGCAGAAGAAGGACCGGCCAACUACGUGCCAGCCGCCGCCGUAAAAC
rnacentral:rRNA from 1 species